rnacentral:tRNA from 1 species
GUUUUUUCAAAGAAAAACAUGCAUUUCAAGGCGCUAUGGAUUUCAAAGACCAUGGAUUUACUCAGAACUUAUGGGUUUUAAAAAAGGCUUUAAAAGGAAAUAACUAAAAAACUUUUCCAGUAAUUUAAGAUGAUACCGGGGAAGGUUUUCCGGUUUAUCCCGGAGGGCUUGUAGCUCAGUUGGUUAGAGCGCGCGCUUGAUAAGCGUGAGGUCGGAGGUUCAAGUCCUCCCAGGCCCACCAAUUUAUGCUCGUUUUUUGCUUAUCCAAGAGUAUAAAGCUUAAGCGUAUUAAAGCCUCUUCAAUCUUUGUUUAUUUUUAAAGAUUUUAUUUUAUCAUUCAGAGAUUGUUUGUUAAAUUUAUCCCAUUAAGCUUCCAAAGAGGCUUUGUCCCUUCAGUGGUACAGAUAAAUUUACAUGAUACAAAUCAAAACAGGACAGGUAAUUCAAGUUGAUGAAUUUGGUUAUGGUUGAUUUGAGAGAGCAUUAUUUAGGGGCCGUAGCUCAGCUGGGAGAGCACCUGCUUUGCAAGCAGGGGGUCGUCGGUUCGAUCCCGUCCGGCUCCACCAUUUGGUCAUCAUCGUGUUGUGAGAACACGGUUUAUUAA